AUGAAUAAACCUGGUCAAGCUGUUGCUGGUCUCUCGAGACAUGUGCACGUUUGCCACUUUUAUUAACCACCUGUGCACCUUAUGUAGACUGAAGACAAAUUCAUCGAGGUAACUCGGAUUGAGAACUGUUGCGCAACAAAAGCCAGCUGUUCUUGUGUCUCUCAGUCUAUGUUCUUACUACACCCCAAAAUGUAUGUAUCAGAAUGCAUAGUCGGGCCUUUGUGCCUUUAAACUAAAUA
rnacentral:misc_RNA from 1 species